ACGGGAGCCGGGCUCCGCCCACGACUUCACUUACAUAUAAACUUCGUCCGGACUCCUACGGGAGCCGGACUUCACCCACAACCCCAAUUGCAGGUAGAUUUCUUCCGGACUCCUACGGGAGCCGGACUUCGCCCUCAACUCCAAUUGCAGGAAGACUCAGUCCGGACUCCUACGGGAGUCGGAUCUCGUCUCCGACUCCGGCCGCA
rnacentral:lncRNA from 1 species